CAGCAGCAGCGGUUAUACGUUAUUAUAAAUUAAUUUUAACUGAAUAAAUCCAUUUAAUAUAUUUUUAUAAAAAAUGAAAUUUCUAAUAAAAACAAUACAACAAUUAUCCUAUUAUACAGGCUAAAACCAGGAUUAGAUACCCUGCUAUUCUAACCUAAAUAAUAUUUCAAAGGAAAACAAAAUAAAUUUGACGGUAUUAACUUUUACAAAGGAAUUUGUUUCUUAAUCGACAACCCACGUAUUACCUCACUUAACAAUUAUUUGUAUACCACUGUAAAGAAAUUAUCUAAAAUAAACUUCAUAAAAGAAAAACCUAAAAAAUCAAGUCAUGGUGCAAUUUAGUUAAGAUGAAAUGAAUUACAUUUAUUCGCUAUACAAAAUAUUUUAGAUGAAACUCUCAUAAAAUAGAAUUUGUCAGUAAAAUUUUAUCAUCAUGAUAAUUUGAAAACUAACAUUAAUAUGUACAUAUCGCCC
rnacentral:rRNA from 1 species